ensembl:lncRNA
GGCUGCACUUUAUCAUUAGUAGUAGUGGGGUAAGCUGUAGGGUGAUCAGGAAAAGGUGAUUCAUGGUGUUAUGGAGAGGGGGGAGUGUGUUGUUAUGGAGAGGGGAGAGUGUGUUGUCAUGGAGAGUGUGUUGUUAUGGAGAGUGUGUUGUUAUGGAGAGGGGAGAGUGUGUUGUUAUGGAGAGGGGAGAGUGUGUUGUUAUGGAGAGGGGAGAGUGUGUUGUUAUGGAGAGGGGAGAGUGUGUUGUUAUGGAGAGGGGAGAGUGUGUUGUUAUGGAGAGUGUGUUGUUAUGGAGAUGGGAGAGUGUGUUGUUAUGGAGAGGGGAGAGUGUGUUGUUAUGGAGAGUGUGUUGUUAUGGAGAUGGGAGAGUGUGUUGUUAUGGAGAGGGGUGAGUAUGUUGUUAUGGAGAGUGUGUUGUUAUGGAGAGUGUGUUGUUAUGGAGAGGGGAGAGUGUGUUGUCAUGGAGAGGGGAGAGUGUGUUGUUAUGGAGAGGGGAGAGUGUGUGUUGUUAUGGAGAGGAGAGGGUGUGUUGUUAUGGAGAGGGGAGAGUGUGUUGUUAUGGAGAGUGUGUUGUUAUGGAGAUGGGAGAGUGUGUUGUUAUGGAGAGGGGUGAGUAUGUUGUUAUGGAGAGUGUGUUGUUAUGGAGAGUGUGUUGUUAUGGAGAGGGGAGAGUGUGUUGUCAUGGAGAGUGUGUUGUUAUGGAGAGUGUGUUGUUAUGGAGAGGGGAGAGUGUGUUGUUAUGGAGAGGGGAGAGUGUGUUGUUAUGGAGAGUGUGUGUUAUGGAGAGUGUGUUGUUAUGGAGAGUGUGUUGUUAUGGAGAGGGUGUUGUCAUGGAGAGUGUGUUGUUAUGGAGAGGGGAGAGUGUGUUGUUAUGGAGAGGGGAGAGUGUGUUGUUAUGGAGAGGGGAGAGUGUGUUGUUAUGGAGAGUGUGUUGUUAUGGAGAUGGGAGAGUGUGUUGUUAUGGAGAGGGGAGAGUGUGUUGUUAUGGAGAGUGUGUUGUUAUGGAGAGGGGAGAGUGUGUUGUUAUGGAGAGGAGAGGGUGUUGUUAUGGAGAGUGUGUUGUUAUGGAGAGUGUGUUGUUAUGGAGAGGGAGAGUGUGUUGUCAUGGA